rnacentral:lncRNA from 1 species
AAUUAGAAAACUGCCACCCAGGAAACCAGGGAAGGGACUGCUUUAGGAGGUGACUGCUCAGAACCUAUCUGCCUUGAUUGAUAAGAAAUCCUUCUUACUUUAUAUUAUAAGAGAUCUUUUUGCCGCCCAUUAUUUAGGAUUAAAAAUCACCUCCCCAGGAGGGUCUCUUAUAAAAACGAAAGUAGGCAAAGGAACAAAGGAC